UUUGCCGACAAUAGCCGGGUGUAGCCGAAGAGCCGACGAUAGCCGAGUUUUGCCGACAAUAGCCGGGUGUAGCCGAAGAGCCGAUGAUAGCCGAGUUCAGCCGAAGUGCCGAAACAAGCCCAGCUUAGACCAACAGCCGAACCAAACCGCCGCUGCACGUACGUGUUUUAAUCGCGUAACCAGGCGGACUCGGGAAAGCCGACAGCCGGAGUAGAUUUCUGUUUGGUCUGUGUCUGUGAGGAGCGGGCUGUGUGCUGGACAGGCAGAGACGCUGUCGGAGCGUGGCAACAGCGCCAGCUGUGAGCUCUGAGGAUGAUGAGGGCUCCGAGCAGCCCCAGCCCUGAGCUGCGAGGAUGAGGAGGGGGCGGCUCCUGCCGGGAGGAGGCUGUUUUAGGGGGGAAGGGGUUGCCUGAGCUCCCUUUUGCCUGGAGCUGCUGAGCAGAGGGGUUUAGGGGGGCUCCCGGCGCUGUCUCGUGGAAGGACGCCGAGAGCUUCUCCGAGGGUCUGGGGGAACACCUGGAUACGCACUUGGAUGCGUGGAGCAUUGCUCAAAGGAGGUGCCGAGGAACAAAGCUCCGUGCCGGGAAGCAGCAGCCGAACGGUUGAUGUACGGUGCGGGAUAUGGUGAACUGCUUGCACGUUAUGGCUCUCGGUUCAGCCGUUGAUGAUGUGCUUGUGAAUGUAAAUAUGGAAAAUGUGAAAUACGUUUAAACAUGGUUUUAAAGAAAAGGGGCUUUUCGGUUCCCGCUGGGCGCAACGCGGGAGCAGCAGGGAGAGGUGGGUUUGUCCUGGGCCACGGACGAGCUCCGCGUGGAUAUGUGAGGCUGCGGCUGCAAGCUGCCGCAGGAGCCGAGGUCUGCCCGCAGCCGCGUACAGCUAGUUCAAAGAUGUCUCAGAGUCCUUCACGUUAGAAGAGCAAAGGAGCAAGAGAGAAGGCCUCAAGCCUAACCCAUUAAAAGCGGCUGCGGCUUUGUGUGCUGUAGCGUGGCAGGCAUUCACAGGGCCUGGGCAGAGAGAGGUGGAGCUGGGCCGUGGAGUCCCCCGGAUCCUUCCACGGGUGUGGGCGUCUGCAGCACCGGGGAUCCGUGGCACAACUCCUUCCUGCAGAGGCUGAAAGCUGAGCCUACAAUUUCAAGCAGGACAAUCACCUUCCCAAGGCAAUAACAAGCGCCUCCCAAGAGCAGCUGGUGAAGGCGGCUCAGAAGGGAUGUGGUGAAACGUUUGGUCCAUCCAUCGUGCUUCUGGACGUGGUAGGGGAGACACACCUUUUCAUAGACGACACUGUAUUUUUUAGGCUUUGUGUUUGUCUGUGCUCCCAUUCUGAUCACCCCUUGAAUUAUUAUUUUUCAAGAAGAUGUCUAGGAGAGAAAUUCCGUUUAUUCGGGGACAGCCAUAAUUUUCAUCUGUUUAAAAUGCACCAGGUGUCUUUAAGCCCUGCAAAGCCACCGAGAGCUCCAGAGUUUGUAGUGCAGUUUUCUGCAGCACUGACUUAUUCUCUGUUGCGGUGCCCAUGCCCUGAGGUACCAGGCAGGCUCAAUAGCAGGAGCAGGAGAAACUGACCUGAGAGAUGCUUUGGGUGCAGCCCAGCCCGGUUUUAUGCCGCCUGCAAAGUCUGGCCUUGCACUACAAAGCGGUCUGCUGUUGCCAUCGGCUGGAAAAAUCCCUAAUGGAUGUUUCCAAACGUGGGGAGGAGUAUCUGCUCCUGUUACAGCAGUACUGGGGGCUUUUCCCCCACUAGGUCUCUGUGAACUGGCCAAGACCAAGGCGUGCAGCAGGCUGUUACCGCUCUCUGCACGGUGAAGCACCUUCGACCAAGGUCAGUGUAAGAGCAAAGCAAUUCUUGCAAGAAAAGCCUGCUACUAGAGGGGUCAAAAAUUAUCCUUCCAAAGGAAUUCAUGCUUCUCGUCCCUUACACCUCUCCUGUUGCAUCACACCGUAGAAUGGUUUGGGUUGGAAGGGACCUCAAAAACGACCCAGUUCCAUCCCCCUGUCCCGGGCAGGGACACCUUCCCCUGGGCCAGGUUGCUUUGCUGUGCCCCCAGAUCUGUCACCUCAGCUGAGCCGUCCCGACACGUUCCACGCAUGUUCCCGCGGAGACCACGCAAGCUUUGCCACAAGGAAAAGUCCUAAAGGCCCUGUUCAUCCCAAAGACAUCAAACCUAGAAUUUCUUUCUUGCUGCACUGUUUGCACUUCUUUCUUUCUCAAAGUGUCACGCACACGAAAUAUUGCUGCGGCCUACUCCUGUGGGAUUUUCAGGAGUAUUGGAUAUAGUUUCCUUUUUUUUUUCCCUUUUCU